AAGAAAUAGAAUAAAUCUUGUGACAGAACAUUGAAAAAACUUACAAUUGUAAAUCAUAAGCAAAUCAUGUUAAUUCUGAACAUAAAUUAUGGAAAAAGUAAAUGGAGAACGAGAUUUGAUAGGUAGCUGGCGAAUGAAGUUUUUACCCAGACAUUACAUCUGUUAUAAUAUGUAACAAAAGUGUAAACUACUUUCUGACAUAUUUUUUAAGUCACACCUCCAUGGCACUUUCCAAUAACAGCAAUAAAAAUAUCAAGAUUACAACAAAUUUCAUCUUAACGUACUUAAUGAAACCUUAUUACUAAUUAUGUCUGUCAAGUAAAAAAUAUGUACUUACCAAUGUAGCAAUAAAUUUAAAUGUGUCUGUAA